UUAUUUUAUACUUUAAACUUUGAUUUUAUUUUUAUGUUUUUUAAAUAUUGGUGUUUUUGAAUGUGUUGUUUAAAUAACAUAAAAAAUAAAAUAUAUAUUGACAUGUAUUAAACAAAGAUAUAUAUUAUUUUAUGUUGUAUAAAUAAAUUGGCAAAAUAGAGAUGGAAGAUAAAAAUAUGGUCAAAGUAAUAAGAGUCUAUGG
rnacentral:misc_RNA from 1 species